UGGGGAAUAUUGGACAAUGGGGGCAACCCUGAUCCAGCAAUGCCGCGUGUGUGAAGAAGGCCUGAGGGUUGUAAAGCACUUUCAGUGGGGAGGAGGGUUAACAGGUUAAGAGCUGGUUAACUGGACGUUACCCACAGAAGAAGCACCGGCUAACUCCGUGCCAGCAGCCGCGGUAAUACGGAGGGUGCAAGCGUUAAUCGGAAUAACUGGGCGUAAAGGGUGCGUAGGUGGUUGUUCAAGUUAUUGGUGAAAUCACAGGGCUUAACCUUGUGUUGACGAAUAAGACUGGGCGACUCGAGUAUAGGAGAGGGUAGUGGAAUUUCCGGUGUAGCGGUGAAAUGCGUAGAGAUCGGAAGGAACACCAGUUGCGAAGGCGGCUACCUGGCCUGGUACUGACACUGAGGCACGAAAGCGUGGGUAGCAAACAGG
rnacentral:rRNA from 1 species